rnacentral:rRNA from 1 species
GACGAACGCUGGCGGCGUGCCUAAUACAUGCAAGUUGAGCGCUGAAGGUUGGUACUUGUACCGACUGGAUGAGCAGCGAACGGGUGAGUAACGCGUGGGGAAUCUGCCUUUGAGCGGGGGACAACAUUUGGAAACGAAUGCUAAUACCGCAUAAAAACUUUAAACACAAGUUUUAAGUUUGAAAGAUGCAAUUGCAUCACUCAAAGAUGAUCCCGCGUUGUAUUAGCUAGUUGGUGAGGUAAAGGCUCACCAAGGCGACGAUACAUAGCCGACCUGAGAGGAGGAUGGGCGAAAGGGGAAAUGAGACACGGUGAAAGGUCCUACGGGAGGCACAAGGGGGGAAUAUUGGACAAGGGGGGCGAGCAUGAAACAGCGAGACAGGGGGGGAGAAGAAGUGGUACGGGUUGGAAAGACCGUUGGUGGGGAAAGAAAAGAAGCAGGUUAAUACCCAGCUGUUCGGAAGGUAGCCAAAGAAGAAGCAAAGGCUAACUUAGUG